CAAUAGCGUAUAUUAAAGUUGUUGCAGUUAAAAAGCUCGUAGUUGGAUUUCGGGGCAGCCUGGCUGGUCCGCCGCAAGGCGAGUACUGGUCAGCCGCCCUUCCUCUCGAAAGCCCCGACUGCUCUUUAUUGCAGUGGUCGGGUAGUUCGGGACGUUUACUUUGAAAAAAUUAGAGUGUUCAAGGCAGGCCUACGCCUGAAUACAUUAGCAUGGAAUAAUGGAAGAGGACCUCGGUCCUAUUUUGUUGGUUUCCAGGACCGAAGUAAUGAUUAAGAGGGACAGUUGGGGGCAUUCGUAUUUAAUUGUCAGAGGUGAAAUUCUCGGAUUUAUGAAAGACGAACAACUGCGAAAGCAUUUGCCAAGGAUGUCUUCAUUAA
rnacentral:rRNA from 1 species